UAGGGAAUCUUCCACAAUGGACGCAAGUCUGAUGGAGCAACGCCGCGUGAGUGAAGAAGGCUUUCGGGUCGUAAAACUCUGUUAUUGAAGAAGAACGUGUGUGACAGUAACUGGUCAUGCAGUGACGGUAUUCAAUCAGAAAGUCACGGCUAACUACGUGCCAGCAGCCGCGGUAAUACGUAGGUGGCAAGCGUUGUCCGGAUUUAUUGGGCGUAAAGCGAGUGCAGGCGGUCUUUUAAGUCUGAUGUGAAAGCCUUCGGCUUAACCGAAGAAGGGCAUCGGAAACUGGGAGACUUGAGUGCAGAAGAGGAGAGUGGAACUCCAUGUGUAGCGGUGAAAUGCAUAGAUAUAUGGAAGAACACCAGUGGCGAAGGCGGCUCUCUGGUCUGUAACUGACGCUGAGGCUCGAAAGCGUGGGUAGCAAACAGGAUUAGAUACCCUAGUAGUCCACGCCGUAAACGAUGAAUACUAAGUGUUGGAGGGUUUCCGCCCUUCAGUGCUGCAGCUAACGCAUUAAGUAUUCCGCCUGGGGAGUACGACCGCAAGGUUGAAAC
rnacentral:rRNA from 1 species